rnacentral:rRNA from 1 species
UGGGGAAUAUUGGACAAUGGGCGAAAGCCUGAUCCAGCCAUGCCGCGUGUGUGAAGAAGGUCUUCGGAUUGUAAAGUACUUUAAGUAGGGAGGAAGGGCAGUAAGCGAAUACCUUGCUGUUUUGACGUUACCGACAGAAUAAGCACCGGCUAACUCUGUGCCAGCAGCCGCGGUAAUACAGAGGGUGCAAGCGUUAAUCGGAAUUACUGUGCGUAAAGCGCGCGUAGGUGGUUCGUUAAGUUGAAUGUGAAAGCCCCGGGCUCAACCUGAGAACUGCUUCCAAGACUGGCGAGCUAGAGUAGGGCAGAGGGUGGUGAAAUUUCCUGUGUAGCGGUGAAAUGCAUAGAUAUAGGAAGGAACACCAGUGGCGAAGGCGACCACCUGGGCUCAUACUGACACUGAGGUGCGAAAGCGUGGGGAGCAAACAGG